UUGUAGAUUGUUAAGGGCGCACGGUGGAUGCCUUGGCAUUAGGAGCCGAUGAAGGACGUGGUAAUCUGCGAUAAGCCUCGGGGAGUUGAUAAACGAGCUGUGAUCCGAGGAUGUCCGAAUGGGGAAACCCCGUCAUCUGUGAGGGUGGCGACCUGCAUCUGAAUUCAUAGGGUGUAGGGGGGAACGCGGGGAAGUGAAACAUCUCAGUACCCGCAGGAAGAGAAAACAAUUGUGAUUCCGUGAGUAGUGGCGAGCGAAAGCGGAUGAGGCUAAACCGUUGGUGUGUGAUACCUGGCAGGGGUUGCAUCAGCGGGGUUGUGGGAUGCGUUGUUCUCAGGGCUGUCGACCUGGGUGCGUGAGUGCGGGGUGGUAGUCGAAUCAUCGUUGAGUGGUGUGCCGUAGAGGGUGUGAGUCCCGUAGACGAAACUGCUGUCUGCCGCGUGUGGCGUAUUCCCGAGUAGCACGGGGCUCGUGGAAUCUCGUGUGAAUCUGCCAGGACCACCUGGUAAGCCUGAAUACUACCUAAUGACCGAUAGCGGACCAGUACCGUGAGGGAAAGGUGAAAAGUACCCCGGGAGGGGAGUGAAAGAGUACCUGAAACCGUGUGCUUACAAGCCGUCAGAGCCUUGGCCCUUGUGGGGUGUGGGGUGAUGGCGUGCCUUUUGAAGAAUGAGCCUGCGAGUUAGUGUCAUGUCGCGAGGUUAACCCGUGUGGGGUAGCCGUAGCGAAAGCGAGUCUGAAGAGGGCGUUGCAGUGGCGUGAUCUAGACCCGAAGCGAAGUGAUCUACCCAUGGCCAGGUUGAAGCGCGUGUAAGAGCGUGUGGAGGACCGAACCCACUUCAGUUGAAAAUGGAGGGGAUGAGCUGUGGGUAGGGGUGAAAGGCCAAUCAAACUUCGUGAUAGCUGGUUCUCCCCGAAAUGCAUUUAGGUGCAGCGUUGCGUGUUUCUUCCCGGAGGUAGAGCUACUGGAUGGCUGAUGGGCCCCACAGGGUUACUGACGUCAACCAAACUCCGAAUGCCGGUGAAGUGAGAGCGUGGCAGUGAGACCGUGGGGGAUAAGCUUCAUGGUCGAGAGGGAAACAGCCCAGACCACCGACUAAGGCCCCUAAGCGUGUGCUAAGUGGGAAAGGAUGUGGAGUUGCUUAGACAACCAGGAGGUUGGCUUAGAAGCAGCCAUCCUUGAAAGAGUGCGUAAUAGCUCACUGGUCAAGUGAUUCCGCGCCGACAAUGUAGCGGGGCUCAAGUACACCGCCGAAGUCGUGGCAAUACACGCGUGAUCCUGUAAUGGGGUGUGUGUUGGGUAGGGGAGCGUCGAGCGGGUGGUGAAGUCGCCGGGUAACCGAGUGGUGGAACCCGUUCGAGUGAGAAUGCAGGCAUGAGUAGCGAAUGACGGGUGAGAAACCCGUCCGCCGGAUGAUCAAGGGUUCCAGGGUCAAGCUAAUCUGCCCUGGGUGAGUCGGGACCUAAGGCGAGGCCGACAGGCGUAGUCGAUGGACAACGGGUUGAUAUUCCCGUACCGGCGAAGAACCGCCCAUAUCGAGCUGGGGAUACUAACCACCCCGCGCACCCGUUUCAAUGCGCUGGCCUUUGUGUUGGUGUGUUGUUGUGGUGUGUGGCGUGGGACCUGAUCCGGGGAGGUAAGCGUGUUAACAGGUGUGACGCAGGAAGGUAGCCGAGCCAGGCGAUGGUUGUCCUGGUCUAAGCGUGUAGGGUGACCCAUUGUUAAAUGCGUGGGUCGUGAUGCCUGAGACGUGAUGGGACCCCUUUGGUGGGGGAUUCGGUGAUCCUAUGCUGCCGAGAAAAGCAUCGACGUGAGGUUCUAGCCGCCCGUACCCUAAACCGACACAGGUGAUCAGGUAGAGAAUACUAAGGCGUUCGAGAGAAUCAUGGUUAAGGAACUCGGCAAAAUGCCCCCGUAACUUCGGGAGAAGGGGGGCCCUGAGCGUGAAGCACCCGUGCGGUGUGGAGGCGUGUAGGGGUCGCAGAGACCAGGGGGAAGCGACUGUUUAUCAAAAACACAGGUCCGUGCGAAGUCGUAAGACGAUGUAUACGGACUGACUCCUGCCCGGUGCUGGAAGGUUAAGAGGACUCGUUAGACGUUUGUCGAAGCGGAGAAUUUAAGCCCCAGUAAACGGCGGUGGUAACUAUAACCAUCCUAAGGUAGCGAAAUUCCUUGUCGGGUAAGUUCCGACCUGCACGAAUGGAGUAACGACUUCCCUACUGUCUCAACCAUGAACUCGGCGAAAUUGCAGUACGAGUAAAGAUGCUCGUUACGCGCAGCAGGACGGAAAGACCCCGUGACCUUUACUAUAGUUUGGUAUUGGUGUUUGGUGCGGCUUGUGUAGGAUAGGUGGGAGACUGUGAGACUGGCACGCUAGUGUUGGUGGAGUCGUUGUUGAAAUACCACUCUGGUCGCUCUGGAUGUCUAACUUCGGCCCGUGAUCCGGGUCAGGGACAGUGCCUGAUGGGUAGUUUAACUGGGGCGGUUGCCUCCUAAAGAGUAACGGAGGCGCCCAAAGGUUCCCUCAGCCUGGUUGGCAAUCAGGUGUUGAGUGUAAGUGCACAAGGGAGCUUGACUGUGAGAGUGACGGCUCGAGCAGGGACGAAAGUCGGGACUAGUGAUCCGGCGGUACAUUGUGGAAUGGCCGUCGCUCAACGGAUAAAAGGUACCUCGGGGAUAACAGGCUGAUCUUGCCCAAGAGUCCAUAUCGACGGCAUGGUUUGGCACCUCGAUGUCGGCUCGUCGCAUCCUGGGGCUGGAGUUGGUCCCAAGGGUUGGGCUGUUCGCCCAUUAAAGCGGCACGCGAGCUGGGUUCAGAACGUCGUGAGACAGUUCGGUCCCUAUCCGCUGCGCGCGUUGGAAAUUUGAGAAGGUCUGUCCUUAGUACGAGAGGACCGGGACGGACGAACCUCUGGUGUGUCAGUUGUUCCGCCAGGAGCAUCGCUGAUUGGCUACGUUCGGGAGAGAUAACCGCUGAAAGCAUCUAAGCGGGAAGCUUGCUUCGAGAUGAGAUUUCCAUCCAAUCUUGUUGGUGAAGGUGCCCAGGAGAUGACUGGGUUGAUAGGCCAGAUGUGGAAGCAACGACUGAAGAGUUGUGGAGCUGACUGGUACUAAUACACCGAAGAUCUACACACAACACACA
rnacentral:rRNA from 2 species